GCCUGGCAGGACUCCAUCGGCCUCACGGCAGAGGCCCUCCUCUGCCUCCGUCCAUGUCUGGAUUGCCUCCGUCUGUUCCCCUGAAAUGCCCUGAGACCUGCCCCUCCUCGGAACCCAGCCACUGCCCUGAUGUGGGACCCUAUGGCUUGACACACGGACCGUUUGAGGGACCACCAGACUGGGUUCCUCCUUACGACCUUUCCCUCUCCUGGUUUCUGCACAUCUCUGCAACGUGAAUGUGGCCGGAUCUCCUGUACGAUUCAGUUGUGAUAUUUACACCACCGAUGUUGCUGGUGAGUUUCUGAUACGGCCAGGCGACCUAUCCCCACUAGGUUUUAACAUCCUAGAGGGCUGGACGAGGGCUUCUGGUCAUUUCUC
rnacentral:lncRNA from 1 species